rnacentral:lncRNA from 1 species
CUGGGUUUGGUACUUGCAAGCCCGUUUUCUGUUUUUUUGUUUUGUUUUUUUUUUCAAUAGGAAGAUAAGUGAUUGCUUUUGAGCAAGGCAGGUAUUAACACAUUCAGAGAGGACAUUUUUUCCCGCGUAUGGAACUAGAAAACUUGGCGAGAUUUUGUUCUGGAGUUUGUGUUAAGUUUUUGCACCAUCAGUUCUCCAAACCUCAAGUCACAGUGAGGAGAGAAAUACAACUAAAGAGAGAUGGGGAUUUGGAGGACUGGUGUAGGGAACAGGCAGACGUGGAUGGUGGAGGGACGCAGCCUUACGGAGAGGUUCUUUCUUCCCAAAUAGCUUAGUUUCUUUUUCUAAUCAAUGAAGGAAGUUAUUGGCCUUGAUAUUAUGUUUCCUCUUUCCUCCCUCUGUGUCAAGAGACACUGAAGAAUGUUCUGGAAUUAUUGAAAACUUUAGAGCGUAUUGUUUGAUUAUUCUUCCUGAAGUUCAGUUUUACCCUAGUCCAGGGACUAGCAGAGAUUUAUGGGCCCUGGGUGCUAGAGGCAGGUCACAUAAAGACUUCUAUCCUGCUCCCACCUUCCCCUCCUUCCUCUUGCCCUCCUUUCUUUCUAUCAAUUAAAAUUUGUGUUCCUUUCAUAUGUACCUAGUCCUUUGCUGGCCAUGUGGAACAUAAAAUGAAAGAGAUGCUCUUUGAUUUAAAAAAAUUACAGCCUGGAAGGGAAAAAUAACCUGCCAGUGUAAAAUUCUCCUGGAAUCCACGUCACAUCAGAGGGACUUGGAACUAUUCUGUCUGCAUUGUUUAUCACGCACUGAUUGUUAGCAUUGAUUAGACCAUAGAAUUGGUCUUUCUCCAACUGUCAGCCCCAGGAUCCUCACAAGCUGGGUUGCACGUGAAGCAAAAUGUCCUGCCCAACUAGAAGAAGACAACCGUUCCAUCUAGGGUAUAGCACUGCGUUAUCCAUAUUGAAUUUGAUUUUGUUUUACCUCAUUCUUAUUUAUGUUUAAUUCAUAAAUUUAUGACCUUCUACCAUGGCUAAUGUUUUAUCAUGUUAUUCAUAUUAAUGUACUUUCUUAUGUUUUAUUUAAGCUUUUUGUUACUCUUAUAAAAAGGCAAUUAUGCUGGAUUUUCUAAUGUAAUUUGUUUCAAUUCCAAAUCCUUUGUAGCUCUUGAAAACAUAAGCAAAGAGGCUCUAAACCUAACAUAUGCAACCAAAUGAUGCCUACAAUUUGCCAAAAUUAAUACAUCAUCAUGCUGGAAUUUGGCUGCUGUAGCCAAGAACUUUACUCUCUUUUUAUAACAUAAUUUCCUUUUAUGGUUCCAUGUUUACUCUCUGAUUUUUUUCUUAAAUCAUCCAAGUAGGUUCUUUUUAAUUGUCAGAAAAAAGGAUUUAAUUCUUCCUCUAAUUGAGCUUAAGAUUUUGCUAUAAAUUUGACAUAUUGCUUUCUAAAUAGGAAUUUACUUGGUUAGCUCAGUUAUAUUUUGUGUAUUAUAGGACAGGUGUUCCCAUGAUUACUGGUACAGAGAAGAAAAUCUGUACCCAAAAGAUAAAUUAUUUAAUUUGUUCUCGUAUUUUUUAGUGGAAUCUUAGCAAAAUUUUGUUUCGUGAAACCCAUCAUAUGAUAUUUACUUAUCCCUCACUCUAAAAAGUUCCUAAAAUUUUGAAUGCAAAAGACCUAUCACAUUUGCAUUGUCUAAAC